CCUACGGGAGGCAGCAGUGAGGAAUAUUGGUCAAUGGACGAGAGUCUGAACCAGCCAAGUAGCGUGAAGGAUGACUGCCCUAUGGUUUGUAAACUUCUUUUAUAUGGGAAUAAAACGUUCCACGUGUGGGAUUUUGUAUGUACCAUAUGAAUAAGGAUCGGCUAACUCCGUGCCAGCAGCCGCGGUAAUACGGAGGAUCCGAGCGUUAUCCGGAUUUAUUGGGUUUAAAGGGAGCGUAGGUGGAUUGUUAAGUCAGUUGUGAAAGUUUGCGGCUCAACCGUAAAAUUGCAGUUGAAACUGGCAGUCUUGAGUACAGUAGAGGUGAGCGGAAUUCGUGGUGUAGCGGUGAAAUGCUUAGAUAUCACGAAGAACUCCGAUUGCGAAGGCAGUUCACUGGACUGCAACUGACACUGAGGCUCGAAAGUGUGGGUAUCAAACAGGAUUAGAUACCCCAGUAGUC
rnacentral:rRNA from 1 species